UGAAAUUUUGUAUACUUAUGAUUUAUACAUGUCACCGUAAAAUUGUAAAAACCGUUAGAUUAUUAUAUAACUAGUGAAAUUGUAAAAUGUUGGUAGACUUCGGACGCGAAUAAGCUGCCUAU